rnacentral:rRNA from 1 species
AUUGAACGCUGGCGGCAUGCCUUACACAUGCAAGUCGAACGGUAACAGGCCGCAAGGUGCUGACGAGUGGCGAACGGGUGAGUAAUACAUCGGAACGUGCCCGAUCGUGGGGGAUAACGGAGCGAAAGCUGUGCUAAUACCGCAUAUUAUCUGAGGAUGAAAGCGGGGGACCGUAAGGCCUCGCGCAAUUAGAGCGGCCGAUACCUGAUUAGCUAGUUGGUGAGGUAAAGGCUCACCAAGGCGACGAUCAGUAGCUGGUCUGAGAGGACGAUCAGCCACACUGGGACUGAGACACGGCCCAGACUCCUACGGGAGGCAGCAGUGGGGAAUUUUGGACAAUGGGGGCAACCCUGAUCCAGCAAUGCCGCGUGAGUGAAGAAGGCCUUCGGGUUGUAAAGCUCUUUUGUCAGGGAAGAAACAGCGGCUCUAACACAGUUUGCGAAUGACGGUACCUGAAGAAUAAGCACCGGCUAACUACGUG